UUGCCUUCUCCAGCCGCAGGAUGUGAGCCACCGGCAAGGAGGGACACCAAUAAGGCAUCCGAUAAGAUAAGUCUUAUAAAAUGUAUAGAUUUAUGUUAAUUGAGACUGAGCUAACAGAUGAGGAAUCCUAGUCAUUGGCCAAGCAGCUUUGAACCUAAUACAAGUUUCUGUGUAUUUAUUUGGGCCUAACUCGGGCAGGCGGCUGGUGUAAAGUUCACACGUGGCGGUGGGGCUCAGCGGCUUUUGGCGGAAAGAUUUAUUGUAACAGGGAAACCCUGUCAUUUCAUAACCAGUCAACCAGCUAACAUCCCUUGGAGACUCGCUGUGGUUAUGAAACUACUUAUCAGCCUUCUCAUGUGGUAAAAGGUGUAAGUAAAAGAGACACAGACUUGGAGAAUACAA
rnacentral:lncRNA from 1 species